UACAGAGGGUGCAAGCGUUAAUCGGAAUUACUGGGCGUAAAGCGUGCGCAGGCGGUUAUGCAAGACAGAUGUGAAAUCCCCGGGCUCAACCUGGGAACUGCAUUUGUGACUGCAUAGCUGGAGUGCGGCAGAGGGGGAUGGAAUUCCGCGUGUAGCAGUGAAAUGCGUAGAUAUGCGGAGGAACACCAAUGGCGAAGGCAAUCCCCUGGGCCUGCACUGACGCUCAUGCACGAAAGCGUGGGGAGCAAACAGG
rnacentral:rRNA from 1 species